CCAUUUUUAGUAAAAGUGUAGGAUUAUAUUAUCUUGAUAAGGUAAAGUUUUUAGUGAUGGA
rnacentral:tRNA from 1 species